AAGCUUUGUGUUGCUGCCAGAUCAAGCAGUAGACUUCUCUUUUAGUUGUUCCAGGAAAAGAGCAAUUAAUCUCCAAAGCUGGGUUGUCUCAGAAAAUGGAUGAGCACAGUGAAUUCCUUAUUAAACUAAAGAAAUUUACUAAGCUGACUUCCUUAAAAGAAUAAAGGCCAAAGUGUUCAUAGCUCAGUUUACAGAAAAUUCAGAUCAACCAACACAGACAUCUUACUUAUAAUAGGUAACCACCUCCAGCUCUUACCAGACCCAGGGUUUCCACGUACCUGUCUUCAGCUGUAUUCCACAGGGAUCCCAUCACCUUUACAGACUAAGUUAAAACAUCUUCCAGCUGUCAGCGUUUUCAUUCCAGGUUUCAAGACACAAGAUAUCAGAACAUACUGGA
rnacentral:lncRNA from 1 species